CAUUUAAAGUACCACAUGCUUUUCCUGGCUUGAUAGCUCAUUUCUUUUUAGUACUAAAUCUCCCAUUUUUUAAAAAAACUUUUACCCAUUUCUUACAUCCUGGAACAUCUUCCCAGCUCUCCUUAUCAUAUACUUAAGUUUAUGCAUACCAGUUCUGAUUUAAGCAUUCCUAAUAUAGCUGGCAAUUCAUAAUUAUGCUUUUGCCUUUAUAGCCUAUACUUAUAUUUUCUCCUCCCUUUUUUCCAGCCUGCCUCUCCCCCAGGUCCCACUUUCUUUAAGUUUUUUAUUUUAUCAAUUUUUAUCUCUUAUUUUAGAUUUCAAAUAUUUUUACUUUUUCAGACGAGAAAAUGUAAGUUAUGUACAAUUUUCUUCUGUUUUGGGUAUUAGCUCAUUUUUCAAAGUUAAAAGUCUUAAUUGAAAGUUUGAGCUUCGGAAGUCAGACUGUUUUAUAAUUUUGGCUUUUUACCACUUACUAGCUCUGUGAUAUUGGACUUCUCCAGCACUCAAUUCUAUUUACUCACUUAUAAAAUGUAUAGAGUAUUAAUAAUUAAAAUAGGUAUUUUAAUGUCCAAAACUCGGAGUCAAGCAAGAGACCUAAUAGAUAGUUAAUGUUCCAUAGGUACCAGUGCUAACACUGAUGAAAUGAUGCUCUUCCCCAUCCUCAUCUGUGCUUUGGUCUUUCUCCUGUGUCCCAGUGUCUCUCACAAGACUUAAAUUGCUCCUGGAUUUUCUGUUGUUAUUUUUGUUUGCUUAUUCUUAAAUAUUGAAAAUAUAACCACUUUUGGUAUUUUUCUCCGUAUGAGGUAAGCUCCAACCUCACUUCCUGAGAAAGCAAUGGUGGCAUAAAUGAAAGUAGAUAGAACAGGACUUGAUGCCAGUAAAUCAGUUGAGAAUUCAUGACAAGGGAGGAUUGGGGUUAUAGAUGGGAAAUAUUUUAUUUGUACAAAUGGCACUACUGCAGAUUGAAAAGUACUGGGCUGACAACUUCAAUGUCAGAGUUACUAUCCAAAGCAAGUGGGUGGCAAGUAUGACUACUGAUAACUAUAUGGAUUGGAAAGACUCUUAUUGUUACACUGAUGAUUCUCAGAGUGGAUGGAACAUAUAAACAUAUUAUCAUACUUAAUUAGCAUGUUCCUUCUUCAUGGGAUGAAGUCCUUCAUAACAUGUUUUUCCCCUUCUUUACAGGGAUUUAACUUUUGAUCUCUAUAUAUUUUGUUUCCCAAAGUGUUUUUCUUUGUCUUAUCUAUUUCCCUUUUCAGUCCCCCUUGCUUUGAGUCUGGUUUUCAAUCUCUGUCUGACCCCAAGACUUGAAAAUAUUAGUCACUUUAUAUUUCCCUGGAGCUGCUUUAAUCAGAACUCAAACUUCAUGUACCUUUUGCUAUAUGAUUUCAUUUUGUUCCAUGGCCACAACCAAAGGACAGAGCUACCCUUUCUCCUGAACACAGCAUCAACGAGGGAUAUCAAAGCAGGGACCAGAACAUACUUCACUCCUCCAGAAGGAAAGUUUUAACAAUCUUAUUGAAGUUUAUUUCUGCCUAGAGUGAUCUAGGGUAUAGGGCUAAGUGUCAGCAAAUAUUUGAAGGAUUAUUUUACAAAAUAACCAACAAAGAUAACAAGAAUAAGAUAAAGGGAAAAUGUUAUUUGGAUGUUUACUAUAUGAUACAUUCUUAUUUUAUAUUAUUUAUUUAAUAUAUUUCAUCACUUUUUAUAAUAAUGGAUACAUUCCUUACCCCUCAAAAUUGCCUCUGUUAUAAGUUACCAAGUCCUUUGUUUCUGGAAAUAUUGUAGAAGAGGCAGUAUUAUCAUCUGUCAAACAAAUGGUUUUAAAAAGACUUUGAACAGAUUGGGCAAAUUAACCAGAUCAACGGUCACCAAGCUGGGGCACUACAGAGUUCUACUGCAGGGGAUGAGGCCAAGCUUGCUUCUUUCUUAGACCAGAGCUGCUACACUUCCCAUCUGUUUUGUAUUUUGGGGUUCUAUAUCCAAUUUUAUUUAAAUAAAAAAUUUCUGCUGGUAGAGUAAAGUUAUAAAUUGCUUGGCUAAAUGACUUUUACAUGCCCUUUCAUUCCAACAAUUCUGGUAUGAUUUUAAGUGUCUACUAUUCAAUGUGCAAUAUGCAAAUAUAAAGUUAAGAAAACAACUUAAAACAUAGGCUUGCCAUUCUUCUGUAUUCAUUAGUUAAUAACUCUUUAUUUCAUUACUGUAAUAUAAUAAGACAUAGCUAAUAGUUUUAAGACAGUGUGGGUAAUGCACUAUCCAGGAUAAAGGAAGCUUAAGCUAAAGCAUGAUUAUGAGACAGGAGAUAAAUUAGGGGACUAGUAAGUGGUAUAUUGAUACUAUUAAUAAUACAUUAUACAACAUAAUAUUAAGCAUAUGACUUAAGAUAUCUUUUAUAGAUAUUUAGAUCCAUUAUGACUCAAUUAUAAAAUAUUGCCCUUGUUUUCAAAGAAAUCAUCACAAUAGUUUUGGUAAAUAAUUUUUCCUUCCAAUCUGAAAUCUUUGUAAAGGAUGCAUUAUGCGUUAUGUAAUAGUAAGAUCUGUUCUCUCUUUACAAAGUUUGAAAUAGUAAAAGCUAAAUUUUUAUCCUUCUAUACUUGAGAAGUAGAAAUUUCCAUAUGAAAAGCCAUGAUUGUGAAUUUCAAUAUGAAUAAAACUCCCAGUUCCACAAAAUGGAAACAUCCAAUUAAUUGUUUAUUUGUCAUAAGGAAAAAAAUAAAACAAGAAUUUGACUCAGUAUUAAUUGAGUGCAGAUGAUAUAGAUAAAGUAUGGAUUCUGGUUUCCAUUGUCCUAUUUUCUAUUGGUAAUAUGGAACAUUCUCAGCAGUACUUCAGCUUCUCUGUGUUACAGAAUUUAUACCACUCUGUGACUUCAGAUAACUCUGAGAAUCCUGUGGAGAUAAUAGCCUGUGUUCUUGCAUGAUGUUCUUUCAUUAACAUUUUCUCAUUAUGGUUCUGGCACUGUCCUUGCAUACUUGGAAGGAACGGAGAAUGAAUUAAGGGAGUAGCCAUGUGUCCAUAGUUAUAAAAUUCUAUCUUGUGACUGACUUUAUGAUUAAACUAUUGCUAUAGCAAUGAAGACUAUGUCCGAAGUAGAAAUUUCAAUAUUCUAUUUAGGCAUAACUAUUGAAGACUCAAGGUUGACAUUUCUAUAGUUUCAUGAAAGUUUAAAGUAGAUUACAUUUUAUUCAAUAUUUACAACUUCCGGUAAUUGUGGUGGUGUACUAGUAUUAAUUAAAAAUAAUUCAUAUAUUUUACAUUCAUAAUUUUUUUCCAUUUCUAUUUAUGUGAAACCUAUGGAAAUUAGGCCAAAUACCAUACUGGACAUAAGAACAAAUAUAGUAUAUGCUUGAUUACCAUUUAGUUUGUCAUAGAUUGUUUUGAAGCAUUGUCCUGAUAUAUAGUAAAAUCUCAUGACUGUAUUUUAGUACUGAAUUUUAAUACUUGUUAAAUAAACUUUAAGAAACCAAUUCAAAUUACUAUGAAUAAAAUGUUAAAAUAAUGACAGUCAAGAAGUAAUUUCAUCAGUUUCAGUGACCAAAUUAAAUAACUACCUACCUAACACUGUCAUCAGUACCAAAUUGUCAGUAUUGUAAGUGAUUGUGUAAGUAUAUGCAUGCAUACAUGUAAUAAGUUUUUGUUAUUCAUUUAUUACUACAUACAAGAUAAUGAUAGAUUCAGGCAAAGCCUCCAGACCAUGAGGUAUGAUCUGCACUAUGUCAUCUGCACUCAAUAAGUACUGAUUACCUGCCAUAAACAAAGUACCAAGGCUUACGUCCUCCUAAACAUUGCACUCCAAUGAAACACUGUAAUCUCGUAAGGCACUGAGAUGAUUCUUAUGAGUCUAAUAGCACUCUAAGAGAGAAUAUGAAUAAAUUACAAUGAAUAAUUAAAAUAAGUAAAUAUAUAUGACAGGAGGAAGUUCAAAUAAGUUUUUAUAAAAGAUAUGGCACUGGAUUUUGCCUUUAAAAAUGAAAGUGCAUGGAGAAAGAGAGAGAAAUGGUGAGGAAAUAGUUGGGGGGGAAAAGCAUACCAGAUACAAAGUAUAACAUGAAAAAAAAUUAACAAAAACAGUUCCACAAAAAAGAUCUAUAAGAUGUUGAGGUAAACUGCUUUCCUGCAUCAUUUACAAAACCAAAUUCAAUAAUAUGCAGACAGGGAGUUUCUAAUAUUUUAUUUUUAAAUAGAGUUGUAUUGUAUUUUAUUUCCUUGGAAAGGGGCUUAAGUACAAUGUCUCCUGGACAUAGUCUCCCUUGAAAAUGUUACAUUCUACUAUGAUACCAGAAUAUACUAUCCAAAAUUUGACCAAAACAUACAAAUAAGUCUGUUUUAAUUUCUUGUUCAUAUUACAUUUGCAAAAUGAACAUUAUACUGUUUGCUAUCACUAACAAUAAAUGAAAAAAUAAAGAAUGCUUUCUAUGAGCUAGCUAUAAGCCAUUAUAAAUGCUGUGUUUCCAAAUGCCCUAAUUUCUUAUGGCACAAAAAUAUCUGUGAUUAUAAGGCCUGAGUUAGCCAAAUAGUAAUCUUGAUUAUUCUUAGCAGGGGAAAAAAAAGCAUUAAGUGAGGACAUUUCAUAUUUAUGGACUUUUGUUUUCAUUUUGUUUUUGAAAUUGCUAUUUUUGUUCAAACAUAAACAUUGCUAUUUAUUUGAAUUAUACAGACAGGUAGUCCUAUGACUCACACAUUUUAUUCUUAUUUAACUUUUGCCUGCUCUAAAAGUACUUUGGAUCAUUAAUCUCAAACUUUUUGAUAAAGGUCACCCUAUCAACAUACUUGUUCUUUCACUUAUUUAGUUAUAAUCAAAACCUGUUCUGACACAUAAAAGAUGUUCUUAUUAUGCCAAAAAAAUCUGGACUGGCAUAUUAAUUUGCAAGCUACCCAAGAAUCUUACUUUUAUGAGCUCAACAGUAGCCAGAUCAACACAAUUACAGUCUUUAUAAAAAUUGAGUUUCUCUAUCAGAAAAUGAACAGAAAAGUCAUUAAAAUAGUAUUAUAUACAUAUACCUUGGAGUUUUUCUUAAAUCACUAUUAAAAUGGCAAUUUGAUUUUUAGAAAAAUACUGAGCUAUGAUGAUUUAAAAAAAGAAAGAAAUAUAUAAGAAGGUGUAGCAAUAAAUGAAUUCAGGAAGAAAAAAGAUGAGAGAAAAGACAUUAGAAAGGGGAAAAAAGUACCAAAAUGAUGUCUGCGUAUACUCUUUUCUUAGCAGUCCCCAGUGACUCAUUUUGAUUCACCAAGUUCUUUAAUUUUCCUUUCUUUUAAAGUUGGAAUAGUAAUAUUUCUCACAUCCUAUAUUUAUAGCAUCAGAAACAUCAGUAGACUUUUGUAAAUGCACUAAAAUAGCAAUAAAAUGAUGACUUGAAGCAGUUAAUCUCCUUCUAAAUUUUGACACAUUUAAAGAUAUAAUACCAUCUUCAUGAAUUUGGUAGAUUAUAGAAUCAAUAACCACUUUGAGUGAUUCAAUUGCUUUUCUAAACAAUAAUGAAGUUAAAAGGAAGAAGAAAAUUUCCACACAUAAUUGCUUUCUUAGGACAAUUGAAAAAAUCAUACAAAAGCAUAUAAGUAAAUUCUUUGUGACUGUGCAUGAAGGACAUAAACCAAACAUAACUAGAAUUAAUCAAUGACAGUCAAAUUACAGCUGUUUUACACAAUAGUAAACACAUGUUUAUGCAUUUAAAAAAUGCCAGACAGGCUGUGGUACUAGCUUAUGUUUCCUUUUAGUCAAAAAAAUAAAAUGGCAUGUUUAUGCUUUGGGAAUAAAUUUAUAGAAGUUAAUAUUUUUAAGGCAAACCUCUGUGUGAUAUUGUGAGGUUAGAUAAUGACUCUAGUUAUCAUUUCCCAACUCACACUGUAGCUUAAAACAUAAAAACAUAAGUACCUGGACCAUUGGACCAAAGGAGGUGAAGGAGGGAUGCUAAAUAAAGAGGAACCACUGAGAUAGGGCUUUUUAUUCUGCUAGAAAAUGUUAGCUAUCAUUGAUUGAGAAUUUACUCUCUGUUAGACACAAGGCUAAGAAUUUUGUCUAGCAUCAUUUCCAUGGCAUUAUUUCAUCACCAUAACACUAUUAGAUAGUUACUGUUAUUUUCUGUUUUGUGAUGAUGACGUUUGAGGUCAGAGAGGUCAAAGUAUGCUCUAGGCAUCACAGCCAGUAAGUGACAAAAUGGGAAUGGAAUUCCCACAUGUAAUGUUUGCUCAGAACUUACUGACUGUGCUCAUUUAGUCCAACACUUUCUGAGUAGAAUCCCAGAAGUUCAAGAGGGUAGAUGUUAGAACAAAGUGCUGCUUAACAAGUUGGUCCUUGCAGCAGGUGCUGACUUUUCUAGAAUAUUUGGGUUGAGGAAAGAGAGUGGUGCCAGGGAGAGGGAAUCAAUCAGUACUCCAGGGACUAGGAAUAUGUCAUUUUAGUGCUGAAGUAAGUGGGUCAGAGGGACAUGCCUGAGAGGAUGGAAGCCUCAGACCCAGAAGAAGUCAGAAACCCAAUGGUCCUGUCUCCCAGCUCUACCCCAAAUAGAAUAUCAUAGCCAGAGAAGCAAGGCUUUAUCUAUGACCAGAGAUUGAAAGGUGAGGCAAUCAAAGCACAGAGGAACUAAGGGGUUUGUCAGAUGAAUCCUGUAAUUUAUCUCGGCUUUUGUUUUGAAGUCUGGACUUUGAGUGGUCUACCUACGUUGAAGGGAAUUUUUGGCAACGGAGGAAGAUGACCAGUGUCACACGGAGCAGGCUGGGAUUAAAGAGACAGUGCCCUUGGAAUGAAUGACAAAGUGACAGUAGUAACCUGCAUUUUGUAAAGCACCUCGUUAAGAUGCAUAUUCUCUUCAUAUUUAUUCCCCUUUCUAUAUCACUAGGUUUUAGAUAUUCCAGCUUGACUUAAACUGCAAAGUGGGACAUAAAGGGAGAAGCCACAAUCUAUGCUUGGGUCUGGAUUGUGCUGUAAUGCAGCGAACAAUGGUGAAAUGAAAUUGAUCAUUAAAAGGUGUCAAAAUAAGUCAAACCUCGGGGGAUGAGAAUUGGCACUCUGAAGUCCAGCUACUCUUCUUGUGAGGAGAGUAUUUCCAAAAUAUGAAAACAUUUGAGUCUUGUUUUAUUAUGAGAAACAGCUGUGGGGAUCCAUAGUCAGAUAUUUUGUAUGCCCAAUGAAGCAGUAGAACUAGAACUCAGAAAUAUGUAGCGUUAUGGAGGCAAGGAUUUCUUUAUGAGGUAUGGCAGUUACUGUAUGCUGGCGCUGCCUUCACUAGCCUAAGUGGCAGUAAGCCUAAUGGUUCUGUGCUCUGCAAAGCUGUGGAUUGACAACUGAAUUUAAAACAUUCUUCAUAACAAACAAGGAACACAAGGUAUGGGGACUAUUUGUAUAUUCUCAAUUUGGGGUAUUCCAUUUGAAUGAGCAGAUAGAAAACGAGUGAAAUCAACCUAAAAAUGACUCUGAGUCCCAUAAUUCUUGCUAAUAGUGGAACCUGUGACCAGCCUUUGUGGUCUAUCUUAGCUUAUCAACAGUUUCCUUUCAAAUCAUAUUUGAGCAAUCUGGAUUCCGUUCAAGCUUACUGUUUUAUUAUCUUACCACUAUUUUGGCACCAGUAUCUUGGUUUCUGCUCUCGCCAUAAAUCAAUUUAGCCCAUACCUGGGUCUUAGUGAAAACAUUUUUUUUAACUGGGGUAUUAUGCAGAGACAAAACUAAACAAACCUUAGUCUGGAGAAAAAGAGGCAAUAUUUUCUUUAUUCAUUAAAGCAUCAUCAAUCCUUACUCAGUCCUUCUUACAAAGCUUUCAUUUAUUACCAAUACUUGAAGUCUUUGUGACUCCAUCCAUAUACACAUCAUUAAUAAUAUCCUUAAAUUCAAAAAUGCCAUGCUACUUCUUGAUUCUUUGCCACAUUUUCCUAUAGUUUCAGACCUCCUGGCAUGCUACUUUGCUAAUUCUAUCAGAGGCAAAGUAGUUAUAUCUAUAAGAGAUAAUUGCAAAAUUUGCUUUUCCAACAGAAAUAAAUUCAAGUCACUGAAUUGGAGAAAUUGAUGUGUUUUAUUUUAUCUAUCACUAUAGAUAAAUCUUGAAAUUCUAAGAUUGUUUUUAUUUAAGAUAGGUAAAUGUGGAUUUGAGGUUAGGUGAUUCAACUGUUAUUUAUAUUAAGGCAACACUUGAGAACAAUCCAAUAGCAUUUCAUAAAGUCCUACCUAAGUCCUGUGGAAUUUCGUUUCUUUGAUUUAAUGCCAAAAUGGGAAUCAUCUUGUUAAAGUGAAGGUAAAUCAGCAUUAGGCUUAGACAAAUAAAGGAAAAGUUUGUUUUACUGCUGGUGUCUAAGUUUAGAAUUUAUAAAGAAGUGACUAGGAGCAAAACCCAAUAACACAUUGGGCAAGAUGUUUUAUUCAUUCAUUGCCACCUACAUAUUCAACUCUAAAUUUUAAUGUGUGCCCUUAAUACAGAAACUAAACCACAUAAUUCUUAACUUUGUUCCUCAAUAGCAGGUAAACAAUAUUGAGAUUAAUUGCAUGUUGACUUAAGCUUGUCAUCACCAUAACUAACAAAUAAAACUGCUCUUCAAAUGUAUUUUAACAUUUUUUAUUUCAAUUGAAGUACAGAGACAUUUUUUAAAAUGUUUCAUCUUGCUUAAAAUGAACAAAAACUUUCUAUAUCAGAUUGUCUCUUACAGUUCCAGCCCCUAGUGAAAUCCUUCGCUUAGACCCUUAUUAUUAUUAAUUAUUCAACAUAAUCUUGACUAUUGGUUUUCUAUGCAGCAAUCAUUGCUCUUUCUUUCCCAUAUUGUAACCUCAACUUUGGCAAAGUAGUGAUAAGAAAUAGUAAAGAAUUCAGGACUUAACUGUUUGAUAGGAUGCUUGCUUUUAAGGGCUUGAGAGUGAAGAGGAGUAAGAAGCCAGUUUGAUGUUAGGUUCGGCAUAGUUAUUCUUUUUUCAGAUUUUUAUCUAAAUCAAACCUUCUUAUAUGAGCUGUGGAAGCAGUGUCUGUCUGCAAGUCACAGAGAUUUAAGGGACCAGAGGGAUCAAAAUAUGUAGAAGAAAUGUGGAAACUGUACAGCAACCAAAGAAGGAAAGAGAAGCAUUCUUCCUUAACUAAAGUCGCAGCUCCAUAGGGGAAGUGAGAAAAAAAGCAAGAUGAAAAUAGAAGAGUCACGUGAUUUUUGUGCCAAAAAGAAUCAGUGGUGAAUUAAUUGGUAUAUUGUCUUUUUUUUUCUGCUGUAGACUCAAAAAAUAAUGAUGAAAACAUAAUCCCCUCCCACUCCUGCCCUUACAGGAAGGGCGGUUGGAAUUUUUUUUUUUCCUUGAGUUGUCAAAUCUUUGGCCUUCUGUACAGUAGACAUUUGUCUGGAUUUGAGGGAUUUGCAAGUGGCAGAGGACAGAAUCCCGCUCCCAAGCAGACUCAUUUCAGGGGAAGCAGGACAUCAGAGGAAAUUGCUCAGGAUGGAAUAAAGGCAGCAGCAAUGCUCUCUGAGGCAGCAGUGCUCAGAACACGGUGAAUGACACCAGGGACAGCUGCUCUGUUUAGCAGAAGGAGGAAUGGGAGGCACACAGACCACUGGGAAUAGCCAAGGUGGUCUGGAGGCACGCAGGGGUGGCAGGGGAAGAAAAGUGAGAGCAAUCAGAACUGAUAUCAGAUUCCGCACGAACUCUCUCAAGUGGAAACUCAGAGACAGAUUUAAUUUGAUUUUGAAAAACUUGAAACAAAAAAAUAUUUCUUGUACCUCGUACCAUGGAGCAAUUCGUAAGGCUACAUAGUUAACACUUCGUCAACUCUAACAACUAAUUCGGAGACCAGACCUGCAUUAUUCUUAGUUCCAUGUGCUCUCCAAAAGUUACUAGGUUUUUUUUUAGAAUGUUUUUUAAGAAAGCCAAAUAGCUUAGGAAUAGAUUUCAGACAUUGGAAUUCCUACUGACAUACCUGCCUCUACAUUAGGUUUGACAGCUCAGAACAUGAAAAGUCUGUUGCCAUAAGUACUGAAACAAUUGGGGCAACAUUCAUGUUCUGUAACCACCUCUGUCCUGAUGUUUAAUCUGUGUAUCAUUGAUUCGUGUUCCAGGAGCCUUUUCAAUUUAUAAUAGUUUUACACUUAACUGUGAAAACUUUGUAAAAUUGUUUUCAAAUAAAGAAUUGUAUAUUUUUCCAACAAUGGGAAUGAUAGACCCACUGCAGAAAUUAUAAUAAGCCAAAUGACAGGCUUAAAAUAAGGAUCGUUAUGCCUUUUAAGAUGACAGAUAAAAAUCCAAUAGAACUGACACAAUGAAAGGAAAGUCCUGCUUCACGCUAGUGGGCUUUACCACACACCACACACACACACACACACACACACACACACAGAGUCACCAACAAUGCUAUUCACUUGUCUGAAGAUAUGUAACUACACAAUGCUGUCAAUGUGAAUCCUGAGCCAUGCACAUAGUUCUUUUCUUAUUGCACCAAUUUGGAUGUAGACCUAUUAAAAUUUGUGAAUUGUCAAUCAAUCUUGUCUUGAAACAUUUGUAAACUAUAUAUACUGUGGGUAAGAGAGCAAAUGGAUAGGAGAAGGUGUACUUUACACUACACCAAUAGAAAUCAGAUAAUGGUGUUCCAUGAAAUUUAAGAAUGUGUAUUUGAUCUCACAUUUUGUUUAUUCCUCGUUCCCUCGAAAAAUACAUUCUCACUUUAUUAUCAUAAACAACUACUGAUUAUUGUGAAUUAUAUACAGCAUUAUAAAAUGUGUUCAUUAGCAAUAUGUAUUCUUUACCGGGUAUUAAAGCAAAAAUACAUAGACAUUUGUAUAAAAAUCUUUUUAUGUAUUUUUAUUGAAAUCUUUGUAUACAUUUAAAAAUUAACCAUAAAAGUUUGUUUUAUAACUAUUCUUAAUUAAACAAAGAAUCAAGAAAAUAGUACUUACAAAUAUAGUCUAAUAAAGAUGCUAAUUUUAAGAUUUUUUUCUAAAA